rnacentral:rRNA from 1 species
GACGAACGCUGGCGGCGUGCUUAACACAUGCAAGUCGUACGGUAAGGCCCUUUCGGGGGUACACGAGUUGCGAACGGGUGAGUAACACGUGAGUAACCUGCCCACAACUUUGGGAUAACGCUAGGAAACUGGUGCUAAUACUGGGUAUGUGCUCCUGCUGCAUGGUGGGGGUUGGAAAGCUCCGGCGGUUGUGGAUGGACUCGCGGCCUUUCAGCUUGUUGGUGGGGUAGUGGCCUACCAAGGCGGCGACGGGUAGCCGGCCUUGGAGGGUGACCGGCCACAUUGGGACUGAGAUACGGCCCAGACUCCUACGGGAGGCAGAAGUGGGGAAUAUUGCACAAUGGGCGCAAGCCUGAUGCAGCAACGCCGCGUGCGGGAUGACGGCCUUCGGGUUGUAAACCGCUUUCAGCAGGGACGAAGCUGUUUGUGACGGUACCGGCAGAAGAAGCACCGGCUAACUACGUG